rnacentral:rRNA from 1 species
CCCUUAGAUGUUCUGGGCCGCACGCGCGCUACACUGAUGAACGCAACGAGACCACCUGUACCGAAAGGCAUGGGUAAACUUGUGAAAGUUCAUCGUGAUGGGGAUAGAUUAUUGCAAUUAUUAAUCUUCAACGAGGAAUUCCUAGUAAGCGCAAGUCAUCAGCUUGCAUUGAUUACGUCCCUGCCCUUUGUACACACCGCCCGUCGCACCUACCGAUUGAAUGGUCCGGUGAAAUCUCCAGACUGGCGUGAGUCGGAGCAAUCUGACAAACGCCGGAAAGUUGAUUAAACCUUACCAUUUAGAGGAAGGUGAAGUCGUAACA